CAAACCGGGAGAUAGCUGGUUCUCCUCGAAAUCUAUUUAGGUAGAGCGUCUCGUGAAUACCCAUGGGGGUAGAGCACUGGAUGGGCUAGGGGGUCCCAACGACUUACCAAACCUAACCAAACUCCGAAUACCAUGGAGUACUGCGAGGCAGACACACUGCGGGUGCUAAGGUCCGUAGUGAAGAGGGAAACAGCCCUGACCGCCAGCUAAGGUCCCUAAGUUAUCACUAAGUGGGAAACGAUGUGGGAGUGCUUAGACAACCAGGAGGUUGGCUUAGAAGCAGCCACCCUUUAAAGAAAGCGUAAUAGCUCACUGGUCGAGUCGUCUCGCGCGGAAGAUGUAACGGGGCUAAGCACAUAACCGAAGCUGUGGAUGCAUAUUUAUAUGCAUGGUAGGAGAGCGUUCUGUAGGCCUGCGAAGGUGUUCUGUGAGGAAUGCUGGAGGUAUCAGAAGUGCGAAUGCUGACGUGAGUAACGAUAAUGCGGGUGAAAAACCCGCACGCCGAAAACCCAAGGUUUCCUGCGCAACGCUAAUCGGCGCAGGGUGAGUCGG
rnacentral:rRNA from 1 species